AUUGCCGCAUGCGCAAUACACCAAUUGCCAUGGUAACUGAUGCGCGAGUUGAUGUCAUGAUGUCAGCGUUUUCAUAAAGCUCCGUUUUUCUUGUGCACACGAAGACAGAGGAACCAGAGUUUUGAAAAAUCUCCACCUUGGAAGGCGUUUUCAAAAAGCUUUGUUUUCAGUGACCUAAAACGCCGUUUUCGUGUGGACGGGAGGCGAUUUCAUUAUUGGGAGAAGUUUGUUCCAUCUUUCCACAAUCUCCGGUGGAUAGUGCUCAUUCACCGAGUAAGGCUUGUCUUUUAGUUCGCGUCCUCUGUCUAGGAUUGCAAUCUUAACCUUAAAGUUAGAAAAUUUUGCCACAAUCAGGCGAGGUCUGUUGGCAUCCUGCUCUUUGAGUCCCAUCCGAUGCACUCAUUCAAAUGCCAUUUCUUCGGCGGAGACAAGAUUGUCCCGCAUGCUCCUACAUCAGAGGACUGACAUGAUACGGUCUGCUUCUGUAAAUUCGUCGGUGUUUGAUCCUUCUAUUUCACUGGAGACGCAACGAGAAAGAACCCUGUGUCAAGGGCCGCCAGUGAGAAAGAAGUAGAGGGCUACACAAUUCGCUGGCUGAAUUACUCAAGCGACCGAGGAGAUGGACGAAGGAAUAGGAAUAGGGAGUUUAGGCGUAACCAGAAUUAAACCAUAUUAAUCAACUUAUUUCUUUUUAGAUUUGUUGUUAAAUAUUAACCAGCAGAUAUAAUAAACAUUAUUAUUGUUAUUGCAUUUUUGUUAUUGUCAUUAUUGGUAUUAUAGUUUUUCUUAUUAACAAUACACAAAUAAAUUUCUUCACUCUUACUCUUGACUGACAGUUAAGAUAUAAGCAGCAUCGCUUUCCCCCGAUGUUAAGUGCAAGCAGUGUGAAAUCGGAUAGUCUACUUAAGCUAGUAAACCUACAUAAAAUCUUAGUGAGAUAUUUAAAUCAAUCAUCAAUGGCAUCUGCAUAUAAAGAGAUGCCAUUGACAACCUUAGACAGUUUUUUAAAUGUUUAAAUGUGCCCAGCAUUCCAAGGCUUGUUGUAAGAUUCAGUAGCCAAUCAGGACUUGAAUACAAGUUUUUUGUAG